AGAAAAUGCAAUUCUUGACUUGAGAUGAAUCAGUUCCCCAAUUUAUACUUCAUUCGUGGAAACUGGGUCUUGGGCAACAUCUCAGCAAUUCCUUCCAAUCUGAAGUUCUCUCAUCUGCUGGUAACCGGUCCAUUCCUAUUGGCGUUCAAGCAAUCACAAACACAUCCUACUUUUGAGAAAUGUUCCAAAGGAGGAGUCAAAGCGGCUGUAAUCUUGAUUCGGUUUUAUGGGCAAUAGAAUUAUUUUACUGAUUCCUGGAAUCAUGGCUCCUAUACAUCUGCACUCUAUGAGCACUUUGGAAAUUAAAGGAUUGCCAGCUUUUCCACUUUGGGACAAAAAACAUUUGUGCUAAACAGCCGAGUCUCAGUGCCCAGUAAGAAGAGAAGAGAUCUAUGUGGAGAAAUGGACUGUCAGCUGCUCCCAUCUCACACGUUUUACCCACAAAAUACGCCAAUCUAAAGCUUUUACCAAUAUGUCCUUUUCUUCUCAAAGACAUCACCAGUUUCUGGGCCACUAUUUUAUUGGAAGUCCCGUAAACACCCUGGACAUUUUAACGUCACUAAGAUUUCUCAUUGUUGUUGUGUAUGGGGUGUGUGUAUAUAUAUGUGUGUGUGUGUGUGUGUGUGUGUGUGUGUGUAUCAUACAUACAUAUACAUAAAAUUUUCUGCUUGCUGUUUUUUCUAUUCUUUCUUUUGUUUCUACUGUAGGUUUUUAGUUUCUUAAAGGCAAGAACUGGCUGGGCGCAGUGGCUCACGCCUGUAAUUCCAGCAGUUUGGGAGGCCGAGGUGGGCGGAUCACGAGGUCAGGAG
rnacentral:lncRNA from 1 species